rnacentral:lncRNA from 1 species
UGGGAUUACAGGCGUGAGCCACCGCGCCCGGCCAUAUCCAUUCUUUUCUAAGUAAAAACACAAAGUACUGUUUGAAUUUAGUAGGCAAUCACAGAAGUAUGAGUUAGAUCCAUAUUUGUUCUAUGUGCAGAGAAACAAUAUGGCAUGGAGGAACCACAUUAGUAUCAAUCUCAAAUCUAUCUUUUAUAGGUAUCUUAUCCUCUUCAUUUAAAUGACAAAGAAAUCGUGGCUUCCAUGUACAUUUAGGCAGGCUCUGCCACACACAAAGAUAUCUGGCCUAGAAGGUCAGUGGGUCCUUAGAUGCAGCCUGUGCUCUAUUCUCAGGCACAGGCAGUAUCCUCCUGGAGGGGACACCAUUUUCUAAUCCUCAUGACAGCCGCCAUAGGCUAGUGUCACACCUGAAAAUAAGUGCCAUUCAGGGUUGGUGUAAUCAUAAAGAGUGAUAUACAUCACAUCUUAUCACAGUGCCAAGUGCAUCACAGAUAUUCUCUAAGUACAGCUAUGGUUCUUAUUCAGUUUAAAAAAUCUAAUCCUUUGAUUUUUCAAUAUAAGUUAGAUAUAAAUCUUCAUUGUUCAAAACCAGAGACAACUUCUUUCUAUCUUUUUGGAUAGAAAGUUCACUGUUAGCGCCUUGCAGGAAAAUCCCCAUGCAUGAUCUUCCAUACACAUUAUGGUGUUUUUCCAAGAAGAGCCAUAGAGAUUCUGAGUCUAUCUCUUCUCAUCGUACUCUCUUCCUAUCAUCUAUAGUACAGGUUUUAAAACAGUAAUAAAUUGAGGAGAAAUCAGAAUGGGCACACACAUUGUUACAUAUAGCUUCUGCAAUCUAGAAGAUAAUGAAAACUGUCAAUAAAACUGGGAUUUAAUAAAGGAAAAAUGCUGUCAGACAAAUGAUGAAUUGUUUAGGCAAUUAUAAAGCUGUGCAAGAAAAUCACACAUUAUGAGUGCAGUUACUCAGAUAUGACAACAGGGUGCUUAUGGAGGGAAGUGAAUGAAACACUAGGCAAAAAACCAAAAAGGUAAAAUAAAACAAUGGCGAUCGAGUUGUGGGGGCAGCCCAGAGAAAUUCCACAGAUGUCUGCAGAAGGUCUUCUCUUCUGUUUAUUCAUCUUUAUUAAUGAUCUUCAGAACAUAGUAAAUGGUGUGCUAAUGAAAUCUGCAGAUGAUAGUCAGCUGGAGAAUGUUGCAAAACAUCAGCAAGGACAGAGAAAUAAUGCAGAUGGUCUGAGAGGAGUUACAGAUCUUGGGAUCAAAUAACAAGAUGAGAGUCAGGUUGGGAAAGGGCCAGCUUAUUCACCAGGGGAAAAUGAAUGAAAACACAGAUAUGCACAGGAAGAAAAAAGCCUGGAAAAGAAGUCUUCUGAGAAGGACCUGUCGAAAGGGAGCUGCGGCUAGACAGCAGUUACCAUCCAGAUCUGACCCUGGAUCAAAGUUUGAUGGGCCUGAGAACUAGCUGGAUCACCUGGAUGGAAAGAUCUUGAGUGGCAGAAAAUGUGGAUAACCCAUCCCUGCAUCACUGGACUCCAGUGCUACAGAAAUGCUCAUCAGAGAAAUGCACAUCAAAUUAGUAAGGACUUUGUAGUCUUACAAGACUUAAACAGAUUACAUUCUAGUAAUCUAGUUUUCCCUCUUCUCUGAGUACAAUUGACUUCACAUUAAUGGGUAAAGUUAUCUUUCAUUGGAAUAAAGACUACAGAACACACUAGCUACCUUCUGAUCCCAAUAACUCAUCCCCUCCACCUAACACUGCUAUAGGAAAUUGGCUGUGUUGAACAGAAUCGAAAAUGUUCCUCAAUUAUCCUUGCAGGUGAGUGGUCAUCCCUUGUGUAAUGCGUGCCCCUUGAGUACAUGUGGAAUCUAUACCUUACUUGUCACCAAUGGAAUACAGCAAAGAUAAUGGGAUGCCACUUCCUUUUUUUGUUUGUUUGUUUUUUUUUUCUUGAGAUGGAGUCUUGCUCUGUCGCCCAGGCUGGAGUGCAGUAGCGCGAUCUCGGCUCACUGCAAGCUCCGCCAACAGGAUGCCACUUUCAUGAUGACAUUACAUAAGAUUAUAUGUUCUGUCUUGAUUUCAGACUUUCUCCCUUUGUGGCUUCAAUGAAGUAAGUGGCCAUACUGAAGAGAGCUGCACGGUGAGGAAGUAAGCGAAGCCUUUAUCCAGCAGACAGCAACAAGUUGAGGUCUGUAGUCCAACAGGCCUCAAGGACCUCGAUUCCUACAUGAACUGCAUGACUCAUGAAAUAGAUCCUUUCCCAGCCAAUCUUACAAAUUAGACUGCAGCUCUGGCCACCAUCUUGAUUGUAGCCUUGCAGAUGUUGCAGCUAAACCAUACUCAGACUCCUGAACCACAGAAACUCUAAGAUGAUAAAUGUGUGCCACUCAGUUUGUGGCGAUAUUACUAUAUAACAAUCGAUAAAUAGUAUAUUGCCCCAUAAUUCUACUUGUACUAGAAGAUGUAGCAAAUUCCCCUGAGUAUACUGCUUUUUUAUUUCAGGGCUUUUUGGCCCUAUCAAACGCAACUCCUUAUUGCACUCGUACAUAAUUUAAUGCCUCUUUCAUUAUCAUAGACAUAAUAAGUUACAUCAUCUAUGAUUUGAAAUUUAUAGAUAAUACAACCUAUCUGUAUACAAAAUUUAAAAAUCAA